rnacentral:rRNA from 1 species
GGAAUUUUCCGCAAUGGGCGAAAGCCUGACGGAGCAAUACCGCGUGAGGGAGGAAGGCUCUUGGGUUGUAAACCUCUUUUCUCAGGGAAUAAGAACUGAAGGUACCUGAGGAAUCAGCAUCGGCUAACUCCGUGCCAGCAGCCGCGGUAAUACGGAGGAUGCAAGCGUUAUCCGGAAUGAUUGGGCGUAAAGCGUCCGCAGGUGGUUUAUCAAGUCUGCUGUCAAAGAGUUUGGCUCAACCAAAUGAAGGCAGUGGAAACUGACAGACUGGAGUGCGGUAAGGGCAGAGGGAAUUCCUGGUGUAGCGGUGAAAUGCGUAGAGAUCAGGAAGAACACCGGUGGCGAAAGCGCUCUGCUGGGCCGUAACUGACACUGAGGGACGAAAGCUAGGGGAGCGAAUGGGAUUAGAUACCCCAGUAGUC